UUGAAUGCUGAUGGAUGCUCACU
rnacentral:piRNA from 1 species